rnacentral:rRNA from 1 species
UCAGUGGCGGACGGGUGAGUAACGCGUGAGUAACCUGCCUUUCAGAGGGGGAUAACGUCUGGAAACGGACGCUAAUACCGCAUAACACUCUUAUUCCGCAUGGGAAAAGAAUCAAAGGAGUAAUCCGCUGAGAGAUGGACUCGCGUCCGAUUAGCCAGUUGGUGAGGUAAAGGCCCACCAAAGCUGCGAUCGGUAGCCGGACUGAGAGGUUGAACGGCCACAUUGGGACUGAGAUACGGCCCAGACUCCUACGGGAGGCAGCAGUGGGGGAUAUUGCACAAUGGAGGAAACUCUGAUGCAGCAACGCCGCGUGAGGGAAGACGGUCUUCGGAUUGUAAACCUUUGUCCUUGGUGACGAUAAUGACGGUAGCCAAGGAGGAAGCUCCGGCUAACUACGUGCCAGCAGCCGCGGUAAUACGUAGGGAGCAAGCGUUGUCCGGAUUUACUGGGUGUAAAGGGUGCGUAGGCGGCAGUGCAAGUCAGGUGUGAAACCCCUCGGCUCAACUGAGGGCUUGCAUUUGAAACUGUGCUGCUUGAGUGGAGUAAAGGCAGGCGGAAUUCCCGGUGUAGCGGUGAAAUGCGUAGAGAUCGGGAAGAACACCAGUGGCGAAAGCGGCCUGCUGGGCUUUAACUGACGCUGAGGCACGAAAGCAUGGGUAGCAAACAGGAUUAGAUACCCUGGUAGUCCAUGCUGUAAACGAUGAUUACUAGGUGUGGGGGGUCUGACCCCUUCCGUGCCGGAGUUAACACAAUAAGUAAUCCACCUGGGGAGUACGGCCGCAAGGCUGAAACUCAAAGGAAUUGACGGGGGCCCGCACAAGCAGUGGAGUAUGUGGUUUAAUUCGAAGCAACGCGAAGAACCUUACCAGGUCUUGACAUCUGCUCAAUUUGGCGGAAAUGCCGAAGUGCCCUUCGGGGAAGAGCAAGACAGGUGGUGCAUGGUUGUCGUCAGCUCGUGUCGUGAGAUGUUGGGUUAAGUCCCGCAACGAGCGCAACCCUUGUGAUUAGUUGCUACGCAAGAGCACUCUAAUCAGACUGCCGUUGACAAAACGGAGGAAGGUGGGGAUGACGUCAAAUCAUCAUGCCCCUUAUGACCUGGGCUACACACGUACUACAAUGGGCGCCAACAAAGGGAAGCGAAACCGCGAGGCGGAGCGAACCCCCAAAAGCGCUCUCAGUUCGGAUUGCAGGCUGCAACCCGCCUGCAUGAAGCUGGAAUUGCUAGUAAUCGCGGAUCAUCAUGCCGCGGUGAAUACGUUCCCGGGCCUUGUACACACCGCCCGUCACACCAUGGGAGCCGGUAAUACCCGAAGUCGGUAGUCUAACCGCAAGGGAGG